rnacentral:rRNA from 1 species
GACGAACGUUGGCGGCGUGCUUAACACAUGCAAGUCGAACGGAAAGGCCCUGCUUUUGUGGGGUGCUCGAGUGGCGAACGGGUGAGUAACACGUGAGUAACCUGCCCUUGACUUUGGGAUAACUUCAGGAAACUGGGGCUAAUACCGGAUAGGAGCUCCUGCUGCAUGGUGGGGGUUGGAAAGUUUCGGCGGUUGGGGAUGGACUCGCGGCUUAUCAGCUUGUUGGUGGGGUAGUGGCUUACCAAGGCUUUGACGGGUAGCCGGCCUGAGAGGGUGACCGGCCACAUUGGGACUGAGAUACGGCCCAGACUCCCACGGGAGGCAGCAGUGGGGAAUAUUGCACAAUGGGCGGAAGCCUGAUGCAGCAACGCCGCGUGCGGGAUGACGGCCUUCGGGUUGUAAACCGCUUUCGCCUGUGACGAAGCGUGAGUGACGGUAAUGGGUAAAGAAGCACCGGCUAACUACGUGCCAGCAGCCGCGGUGAUACGUAGGGUGCGAGCGUUGUCCGGAUUUAUUGGGCGUAAAGGGCUCGUAGGUGGUUGAUCGCGUCGGAAGUGUAAUCUUGGGGCUUAACCCUGAGCGUGCUUUCGAUACGGGUUGACUUGAGGAAGGUAGGGGAGAAUGGAAUUCCUGGUGGAGCGGUGGAAUGCGCAGAUAUCAGGAGGAACACCAGUGGCGAAGGCGGUUCUCUGGGCCUUUCCUGACGCUGAGGAGCGAAAGCGUGGGGAGCGAACAGGCUUAGAUACCCUGGUAGUCCACGCUGUAAACGGUGGGUACUAGGUGUGGGGUCCAUUCCACGGGUUCCGUGCCGUAGCUAACGCUUUAAGUACCCCGCCUGGGGAGUACGGCCGCAAGGCUAAAACUCAAAGGAAUUGACGGGGCCCCGCACAAGCGGCGGAGCAUGCGGAUUAAUUCGAUGCAACGCGUAGAACCUUACCUGGGUUUGACAUGGAUCGGGAGUGCUCAGAGAUGGGUGUGCCUCUUUUGGGGUCGGUUCACAGGUGGUGCAUGCCUGUCGUCAGCUCGUGUCGUGAGAUGUUGGGUUAAGUCCCGCAACGAGCGCAACCCUUGUUCACUGUUGCCAGCACGUUAUGGUGGGGACUCAGUGGAGACCGCCGGGGUCAACUCGGAGGAAGGUGGGGAUGACGUCAAGUCAUCAUGCCCCUUAUGUCCAGGGCUUCACGCAUGCUACAAUGGCUGGUACAGAGAGUGGCGAGCCUGUGAGGGUGAGCGAAUCUCGGAAAGCCGGUCUCAGUUCGGAUUGGGGUCUGCAACUCGACCUCAUGAAGUCGGAGUCGCUAGUAAUCGCAGAUCAGCAACGCUGCGGUGAAUACGUUCCCGGGGCU